CACAUGCAAGUCGAUCGCUGUCUUCGGACAGAGAGGCGCACGGGUGAGUAACACGUGGGAACAUACCCUUAAGUGCGGAAUAACUAUUGGAAACGAUAGCUAAUACCGCAUACGCCCUACGGGGGAAAGAUUUAUCGCUUAAGGAUUGGCCCGCGUCUGAUUAGCUAGUUGGCGGGGUAACGGCCCACCAAGGCGACGAUCAGUAGCUGGUUUGAGAGAAUGAUCAGCCACACUGGGACUGAGACACGGCCCAGACUCCUACGGGAGGCAGCAGUGGGGAAUAUUGGACAAUGGGCGCAAGCCUGAUCCAGCCAUGCCGCGUGAGUGAAGAAGGCCUUCGGGUUGUAAAGCUCUUUCAGACGUGAAGAUGAUGACGGUAGCGUCAGAAGAAGCCCCGGCUAACUUCGUGCCAGCAGCCGCGGUAAUACGAAGGGGGCAAGCGUUGUUCGGAAUUACUGGGCGUAAAGCGCGCGUAGGCGGCGUCGUCAGUCAGAGGUGAAAUCCCAGGGCUCAACCUUGGAAUUGCCUUUGAUACUGCGAUGCUUGAGUUCGAGAGAGGGUGGCGGAAUACCCAGUGUAGAGGUGAAAUUCGUAGAUAUUGGGUAGAAC
rnacentral:rRNA from 1 species